CCUUAUUCAGUGCUUCUAAAUGGUGAUUAGCAGUUGAGAUUUCUUCUUGGAGAACAUUGUAUUCGACUUGAUAUUCUGCUAGAUGUUUUGUAAUCUCCAGAUUCAAUGCCUUUUGAAUAAUAAGGCCAUCGAGUGCAAAAAAGGUGGAGUUUAGAUAGGACUAUACUUAGCAGUUCCACGUAAGACUUUGUUUUUAUAAAUGAGGCGUAAUGGCACGAUCCGACGAACCAUGCUUCUUAAGGCUUCCGGCUAGGCCGCAAAUCAUCAUAAGAUUCUCUCUCUCAUACAAUAUUCGCUGGCUGAGGCGUGGUGCUGGGAUGGAGCGACGGCGUAGAUCAGAACGCCAGACAGCUUUUAGGGACAUCGAAUUGGUGGAGUUUGGUAAAAGAUCAAAACCAUGAAAUAGGGAAGUUUUUGGAUUAUUCUCUGGACUCCAUAGUUGGAAUGAUUAAAUUAGUUUAAAAUAAAAUCUAUUCGACUCUGGAGUAUUUAGUUUUUGGAAGCGUUAUAUAACAGCGAAUUAAAG